UAAGCAAUAUGCUAAUAGAAUACAGCUUCUGCUGAAGAAAACUAAUUGGGUUAAGUAAUUGUGAAAGAGGAUAGAGCUUAACUUAAAGUACUCAUGUUUCAAUUAACUCGGCUUGCUUCUUGAAAGCAAUAUAGAUAAAACAAAAGGAGGUCUAAGAAUGACUGUUGUGUGACAGUACCUGCAAUGGGAAUGUAAAUGCAAAGCACUUAAAAUCAGCUGUUACUGCAGAGCUAGUCCUGUAAUAGUUCAGAGCCCUUGCUGGAAUAAGGCAAAUCCCCUCCCUUUUAAUCAAGGAGUCUGAAAAUGGAAACAGGAAUCUUCUGGGAGAUAGCAAAUAGGCAUGCACAUGGUGUUCAUCUCAAAGAGCUGCAGCUGACACUACAGGCUUCAGUGUGAAAGGAAGCCAUUAGUCUUGCUCAGGCAGGAAAAAAAAUGCUGGAGGUUUAAUUUGACCCUUAACCUUCCCUGAGACAAUCACAAACUUGAAUUGUCACAAAGAAGCCCUUGGUGCCAUGCUGCAGCUUCAGUGGGGUGGUUUAGAGGAAGUGAACUACAAGCAGGUGUGCUCUCCACCAUAUGCCCAGUGAGGUUUUAGCAGAUGUUUUGCACAUGUGAAUGCUCUCAAAACCCCCAAAGUAGUCUUUAUCUUCAGAAUAGGCACUGUAAGAACAACUAAUCAAGACCCUGAUGGUUUCUUCUGAACAAAUAGACAAAGUGAAUGCAAAGAGUCAGUGGCACAGACAAGGAUCAGUGAUCACUGAACUACAACUGUCUCCAAUUUAAUGAACAAUUUAAUGAACAAUUAAAUAAUAAUAAUUUACAGCAAUGGAAAUAUCACAAAGCAAUAUAGUCCAUCUGUAUGAAGAAUACGUUGGUACUUAAUAUUUGCUGUGCAGAUUGCUAAUAAAACCUAAUGGCCAUA